UGUUGCACCCCGAUUUCAGCGGCGGACGGGUGAGUAAUGCCUAGGAAUCUGCCUGGUAGUGGGGGAUAACGUUCGGAAACGGACGCUAAUACCGCAUACGUCCUACGGGAGAAAGCAGGGGACCUUCGGGCCUUGCGCUAUCAGAUGAGCCUAGGUCGGAUUAGCUAGUUGGCGGGGUAAAGGCCCACCAAGGCGACGAUCCGUAACUGGUCUGAGAGGAUGAUCAGUCACACUGGAACUGAGACACGGUCCAGACUCCUACGGGAGGCAGCAGUGGGGAAUAUUGGACAAUGGGCGAAAGCCUGAUCCAGCCAUGCCGCGUGUGUGAAGAAGGUCUUCGGAUUGUAAAGCACUUUAAGUUGGGAGGAAGGGCAGUAAGUU
rnacentral:rRNA from 1 species